rnacentral:snRNA from 1 species
GUGUGGCAGCACAAAUACUAAAAUUGGAAUCAUACAGAGAAGAUUAGCAUGGCCCCUGUGCAAGCAUGACAUGCUAUAAAAUUAUUUAAAACAUAAAAUU